UUGAGCGCAAGCAGUGAUAUUCUCCCAGCGCUCGACAGGGAAGGUCCAUUUCUCUGUGUCUCUGUAAAGUCCUGCAUCUGGCGCUCUUGAAAAGGCAUAAUCUUUUUACAAAUGAAAAAUAUGGAUCAGUAAAGCUCUGAAGAAUGCCACACGGUUUCCUGAGUGUUUACUGAAGCCAGUUAAUGUUUAGCUCUCUGCAUAAGCUGGAUAGGGACAUUCAGCUGAGGGCAGAAGAAUGAUUGUGCAUGGAAGGUGUUGCAGAAAGGGGAAGUUAUAUGUCUGUUAUAUGUCUGUUAUAUGUCUGUUAUAUGUCUGUUUAUAGCUAUUGAAGAUGUACCAGAUAUACCAUUGACUGUACACGAUGAACUUUUGUUUUGUGUUGAUGCCAUGGGGGGGCGGAUACCCCACUGCUUUAAAAGUGUUCUCAACAUGUAUUUUUGUCAGAGGACAUAUCCUGAUAUGUCUUCUCCGCUGCUAAUAAACUCAUCGUUUGAUUGCA